rnacentral:rRNA from 1 species
GGCGGUAUGCUUAACACAUGCAAGUCGAACGGACUCUUCGGAGUUAGUGGCGGACGGGUGAGUAACGCGUGAGAAUCUGGCUUCAGGUCGGGGAUAACUACUGGAAACGGUGGCUAAUACCGGAUGUGCCGAAAGGUAAAAGGCUUGCUGCCUGAAGAUGAGCUCGCGUCUGAUUAGCUAGUUGGUGUGGUAAGAGCGCACCAAGGCGACGAUCAGUAGCUGGUCUGAGAGGAUGAUCAGCCACACUGGGACUGAGACACGGCCCAGACUCCUACGGGAGGCAGCAGUGGGGAAUUUUCCGCAAUGGGCGAAAGCCUGACGGAGCAAUACCGCGUGAGGGAGGAAGGCUCUUGGGUUGUAAACCUCUUUUCUCAGGGAAUAAAAAAAUGAAGGUACCUGAGGAAUCAGCAUCGGCUAACUCCGUGCCAGCAGCCGCGGUAAUACGGAGGAUGCAAGCGUUAUCCGGAAUGAUUGGGCGUAAAGCGUCCGCAGGUGGCUAUGUAAGUCUGCUGUUAAAGAGCAAAGCUUAACUUUGUAAAAGCAGUGGAAACUACAUAGCUAGAGUGCGUUCGGGGCAGAGGGAAUUCCUGGUGUAGCGGUGAAAUGCGUAGAGAUCAGGAAGAACACCGGUGGCGAAGGCGCUCUGCUAGGCCGCAACUGACACUGAGGGACGAAAGCUAGGGGAGCGAAUGGGAUUAGAUAC